AUGUGCGUCAAGCACUCAAGUGAUCCGCGUUCGGCACUUUGGCUUCGGGAGUCUUGACCUAGCGCAGCCGCCACCACAGCGCUGUCCCUGCCGCGAUAGCUCCGCGUCGCCGCUCAACGGAGGCCGACGAGGCGAUGAGAAGCGGAGGCCGAGCAGUCGCACUUGCAGGUUCAGUCCUGCUUGUCCGCAGUCCACAGUUCGCCCUCUAUCCUCUGCUGUGGGAUCUGCAGUACCAUCUGCUUCGGCCUCAGCACUGCCAUUCGCUUCAGCCUCUGCACUACCGUCCAAGUCAAGUCGCUGUAUCACCUUAGCCCAUGGACGCUCCCAAUGCCUUGAUGGCUUGACCUCUGAUGGAGAGGAAGUAAGGUGAGAAAUCACGAUUGUUUGUUGACUUUGUGAGGCCGUAAAAAUUGAGAUGUAUUUUUAAUAUUUUUGUAAUACUAACCAUGUCAAAUAUGUCUACACGGUUGGAUGAAGUUGUACUGCUGUACCAAUUCACUGUAUUUGUAGACUACACUACGCCAUGCUUUGCUAAUGAACCAGCCAUCAUGUUCUACAAAAUUGGAGGAUGAACUAGCCAUGAUACUUUGCCAGUGAACCAUGUCAACCGGGUAUGGGAUCCCCGCGGGGAGAAAACCCCGCUCGGGGACGGGGACAGGAAAAAUCUUCCCCCGUUACUCUUCGCGGGGACGGGGACAGGGAUUUUUCUCCUCCGUGGGGACGGGUAUGGGCACUCAACCCCCAACAGGGAAUUCCCCGUUGCCAUCUCUACCCGCUGCGCAGCCACCGACCCCACUGUGGACGUCCCCGACCCAAUCCACCGACCCGCACCCGCUGCGACUGUCAGCAUCAAGUAUGGUGGUAGUGAAGGGCGACGUCCAGAGAGUAAGAACGAGGCGACACAGUAUGGACUUGAUAUGACUGAGCAACAAUAUCUUGAGCAUUCGAUUCCAUGGAUAGCUGCCAAUGAUGCUGCUUGGCGUGCGUUAUGUCGUUACUGGGCUUCGACUGAAUUUAAGGCAAAGUCUGUGCGACACAGUUCCAAUCGUGGAACCGAGUCGUAUCACAGGUAUGGAGGUGAUGAUCACUUUCGUUUGGCAAAACGAAUGGAAGCUAGCACUGGUGCAGUGCCUAGUGAUGUUCAAAUAUACCUUAGGGGGCACAGAGGAUCAGAUCCUGCAAAUCCAGAUGUGUUGUGCAGCCAAAAGGCAACAGAUCGUGUGCUGGGUGUUUGGAAAUGUUUGGUAGGUUCUGUUUAUAUGGAUUUUUGUAUGUAAGAUUACAUUGUUCUUUUGUAUGAGGCUGCAUAUGGCGAGGCAAUGUCUAGUUAGCACGGACCAGACUAUGACUGGAGGACCUCACCUAUUGAUCCUCAGGCUGUGUAUGCAAGUGGUGGAAAAGCUCAUGGAAGGUACACAAUGUUUGCUAACAUCAUCGACUCGAACCAGGUGAGGGUUCAGCGUGGAGGUUCAUCGAGGUCUACUGCUCGUAGCUCCCGUCGCUCCACUCAAGAUUCAGCAGAAGUGGAGCAACUGCGAGAAGAACUUAGGCGACAUUAGGAUUACUUGAAGCAACAAGCUGCGCAACAUGAAUAUUAUGCUACACAGAUUCAGCAACAGCAAACACUCAUACAACAACUAGCACAGGCCCAAGGGAUACACGUCCCGGUGCCCCCCACCACCUCCCGUUCAUUAUCCUUGGUCUUCACCUCCACCUAUACCUACAUCUCCAUCUACCGAACAUCAGACCCCUCCAGCUACCUUGCCGACGCAUGAACAAGAGGACGGGUUAGACUUUGUCGAAACCCUCUUCAAUAGUGGAGGUAUCGACCAUCACUCUUCACUGUAACCCGAUGGUGAUCGACGACCGUGAGCUUCCAUGUUAUUGCGUUCUGAUACUUGAGACUUUUAUUAUGACUAUGUAUGAGAUAUUGUCUCUUAUUAGUACUGGAUGAUGAGAUGUGUCUUAUUAUGACUAUGGAUGAGACUUUUGUGAUGUAAUUGAUGAGACUAUGGAUGAGACUUUUGUGAUGUAAUUGAUGAGACUAUGGAUUUAAAUAUUGUUAUGUGAUUGUGUGUGAGAUGUUUUAUGCAAAAAUAUGUUAUGCUAUAUAACUGUUGAUAUAUUUGUUA